GAUGAAGAACGCAGCGAAAUGCGAUAAGUAAUGUGAAUUGCAGAAUUCCGUGAAUCAUCGAAUCUUUGAACGCACAUUGCGCCCCCUGGUAUUCCGGGGGGCAUGCCUGUCCGAGCGUCAUUGCAACCUUCAAGCGCGGCUUGUGUGUUGGGUCUCGUCCCCCGUGGACGGGCCCGAAAGGCAGUGGCGGCGUCCCGACAUGGUGCCCGAGCGUAUGGGAAUCCUCUUCCGCUCGAAUCGGCCCAUGCGGCGCUGGUCGUGACCAAAUUUUUUACCGGUUGACCUCGGAUCAGGUAGGGAUACCCGCUGAACUUAAGCAUAUCAAUAAGCGGAGGA
rnacentral:misc_RNA from 1 species